GACAGGCUUAACACAUGCAAGUCGAGGGGCAUCAGGAAUAAAGCUUGCUUUCUUUGCUGGCGACCGGCGCACGGGUGAGUAACACGUAUCCAACCUGCCCUUUACUCGGGGAUAGCCUUUCGAAAGAAAGAUUAAUACCCGAUAGCAUAAUGAUUCCGCAUGGUUUCAUUAUUAAAGGAUUCCGGUAAAGGAUGGGGAUGCGUUCCAUUAGGUUGUUGGUGAGGUAACGGCCCACCAAGCCUUCGAUGGAUAGGGGUUCUGAGAGGAAGGUCCCCCACAUUGGAACUGAGACACGGUCCAAACUCCUACGGGAGGCAGCAGUGAGGAAUAUUGGUCAAUGGGCGCUAGCCUGAACCAGCCAAGUAGCGUGAAGGAUGAAGGCUCUAUGGGUCGUAAACUUCUUUUAUAUAAGAAUAAAGUGCAGUAUGUAUACUGUUUUGUAUGUAUUAUAUGAAUAAGGAUCGGCUAACUCCGUGCCAGCAGCCGCGGUAAUACGGAGGAUCCGAGCGUUAUCCGGAUUUAUUGGGUUUAAAGGGAGCGUAGGUGGACUGGUAAGUCAGUUGUGAAAGUUUGCGGCUCAACCGUAAAAUUGCAGUUGAUACUGUCAGUCUUGAGUACAGUAGAGGUGGGCGGAAUUCGUGGUGUAGCGGUGAAAUGCUUAGAUAUCACGAAGAACUCCGAUUGCGAAGGCAGCUCACUGGACUGCAACUGACACUGAUGCUCGAAAGUGUGGGUAUCAAACAGGAUUAGAUACCCUGGUAGUCCACACAGUAAACGAUGAAUACUCGCUGUUUGCGAUAUACAGUAAGCGGCCAAGCGAAAGCAUUAAGUAUUCCACCUGGGGAGUACGCCGGCAACGGUGAAACUCAAAGGAAUUGACGGGGGCCCGCACAAGCGGAGGAACAUGUGGUUUAAUUCGAUGAUACGCGAGGAACCUUACCCGGGCUUAAAUUGCAGUGGAAUGAUGUGGAAACAUGUCAGUGAGCAAUCACCGCUGUGAAGGUGCUGCAUGGUUGUCGUCAGCUCGUGCCGUGAGGUGUCGGCUUAAGUGCCAUAACGAGCGCAACCCUUAUCUUUAGUUACUAACAGGUUAUGCUGAGGACUCUGGAGAGACUGCCGUCGUAAGAUGUGAGGAAGGUGGGGAUGACGUCAAAUCAGCACGGCCCUUACGUCCGGGGCUACACACGUGUUACAAUGGGGGGUACAGAAGGCAGCUAGCGGGUGACCGUAUGCUAAUCCCAAAAGCCUCUCUCAGUUCGGAUCGAAGUCUGCAACCCGACUUCGUGAAGCUGGAUUCGCUAGUAAUCGCGCAUCAGCCACGGCGCGGUGAAUACGUUCCCGGGCCUUGUACACACCGCCCGUCAAGCCAUGGGAGCCGGGGGUACCUGAAGUACGUAACCGCAAGGAUCGUCCUAGGGUAAAACUGGUGACUGG
rnacentral:rRNA from 1 species